rnacentral:rRNA from 1 species
CACGUAGGGUGCGAGCGUUGUCCGGAAUUAUUGGGCGUAAAGAGCUCGUAGGCGGUGUGUCGCGUCGGCCGUGAAAACCUGCAGCUUAACUGUGGGCGUGCGGUCGAUACGGGCAUCACUGGAGUUCGGCAGGGGAGACUGGAAUUCCUGGUGUAGCGGUGAAAUGCGCAGAUAUCAGGAGGAACACCGGUGGCGAAGGCGGGUCUCUGGGCAACAACUGACGCUGAGGAGCGAAAGCGUGGGGAGCAAACAGG